GGAAAGCAGCGUUUUAACCACUGGACAAGACCUUUGCAGCCGCGGGAUGAUUUGCUGAGGAAUAUGCAUUUGUUCCCUUACACUGUGGCGGAAAGCAAGUUUCAGAGAUCAAGUCUGAGUUGGGCCUGCCACAAAGGAGAAACUAAAUGAUUGCAGUAGUCAACAAAGGAUGUUACAGCCAUUAAACCAUCAGUUUACAUGGGUGCACCCUGAGGCCCGUCUAGAUUAGAAAGCACAGGAUCGUUUAAAACCAAAAAACCCCCAGGAGUUCGCUGGCUCCGUGGCCUAAGGAUCUGGUGCCGGUUCCCUCCUUGGCCUGGGUACUUGCACGUGCUGCCAGCAUGGCAGAAAACAAAAAGCAAAACGACGGGAACUCCGGCUUUGAGUUUUACUUUACGCCUCAAGUCUUUCUUCGUUUAAGGUGCUUUCAGUGUGUUUAUGUUGGUUCCGCGGCAGUUGGUGGCUGUUUGGGCGGGUGUUUUGUUUUGUUCUUCAGGGCCGCGUUCGCGGAGUGUGGAGGUUCCCAGACUAGGGCUGGGUUUGGAGCCACAGCUGCCGGCCUUUACCACCGGAUGCUUGACCCACUGCGCAAGGCCAGGCAUAGAACCUGCAACCUUCUGGUUCCUCGUGGGAUUCAUGUUCUCGGCACCACGACCGGAACUCCCUCCCCCUCCCCGCCUACCCCCCCCCGGGGGGGGUGGGGUGGGCUGGUGGUUUUAAUUACUGGGCUGUGUCUCCUGCCCAACCGGGAAAGCAGCGUUUUAACCACUGGACAAGACCUUUGCAGCCGCGGGAUGAUUUGCUGAGGAAUAUGCAUUUGUUCCCUUACACUGUGGCGGAAAGCAAGUUUCAGAGAUCAAGUCUGAGUUGGGCCUGCCACAAAGGAGAAACUAAAUGAUUGCAGUAGUCAACAAAGGAUGUUACAGCCAUUAAACCAUCAGUUUACAUGGGUGCACCCUGAGGCCCGUCUAGAUUAGAAAGCACAGGAUCGUUUAAAACCAAAAAACCCCCAGGAGUUCGCUGGCUCCGUGGCCUAAGGAUCUGGUGCC
rnacentral:lncRNA from 9 species